rnacentral:sRNA from 1 species
UUCAAGCGUGCAGAGUGGUGACGUGGC